UCUUCCAGGGUGGGAGGGGGAGGGUUGGGAAUAGUUUCAGGGACGGAUAUGUGUCCCAGUUUGUACAUGAAAUAUUUAAAAUAAAUCUUUAAAAAAAAAGUCUUCCAGGGUGGGAGGGGGAGGGUUGGGGGUAGUUCAGGACGGAUAUGUGUUCCCCAGUUUGUACAUGAAAAUAAUAAAAUAAAUCUUUAAAAAAAAAGAAAAUAUAUGGCUGCAAGACCAAUAGCCAAGAAGUACCAUAAGGGAACAUUGAAAAGAACUUGGAAGAACAAUUUCAAGAGGAGUGAAACCAUUCAGAGGUAAAUGGACACUGUUGGCAGGUUUUGUCAUCCUGAAUGGCGGAUCCCUUUUUGGGACUGCCACCUGGGUAGACCUGGCCCCCGCAGGAUGCAUUUCUCCAGUGGCGGUGCACCGAGUAUGGCUCUGGGUCAACUGGGAAGGCCUUAGGUGAUAGGUGGUGUUCGUACAGCCCCCUGGUUGCAAGUAUCACCAUGUCUGCGGGGCCUUUGAGUAUUGACCACCAGCACGCCCUCCAUCGGCAACUGCCCUGGCCCCUCUCUGGAGGUCCCCUGCUCCUGGUGCAACUGUUGACUGGGGUGGGCUGUCCUCAGUGUGCCGCAAUUGUGUUGCAGCACCAGGCUGGGACAGCCACGAAGGGUGCCAGUGGUCUGAGAGCCAAACAAAAACCUGUGGCACAUAGAAUGUGAGGUCUGGCGCACACCGGCUGAGGUGAGAUCCCGAUGUGCUGUUGCAGUGGGUAUGCCACCAGCCUCUCUUGCCACGGGCAUAAUUUUAGGAGGGGACAGGGGUGUUUGUCCCCCCCAACUUUCAUGGUACACCAUUUUGUCCCCAUUCAUUUGGCUGGGGCACCUUUUCUUCAGAUGUCAUGUCCCCCCAACAUUUUCAGCAAAGUUACUCCACUACCUCUUGCCCACUCUGUUGGGGAAGAGGAGCAUGAGUGUGUGUGAUAGGAAGCAAAUGCUGGUGAAGUAUGCAUGGACAGGGCAACGCUGGGGAACUUUGGUGGAGGUCUGUAGUGGUCUGACAUGCAAAUCAGUCGUCUGACCUGGGUAUAGGGGCAUAAGACUAAUCAAACCAUUUAGUAGCUGGUUCCCUCCGAAGUGUCCCUUGGGACAGCUGGUGCUCGAAUACCCCAGUUUUAUCUGGUAAAGCAAAUGAUUAGAGAUCUUUGGGCCAAAACAAUCUCAAACUAUUUUCAAACUUUACAUGGGUAAGGAGACCAUCUCGCUGGCAUGUAGCCGAGCAUUGUAUUGCAGUGCCCAGUGUGCCACUUCUGGGACUAGAAAAGGUGUUUGUUGAUAUAGACAGCAGAACAGUGGCCAUAGAAGUCCUAAUCUGUUAAGGAGUGUGUAACAACUCACCUGCUGAAUCAACAAGCUCUUACAAUGGAUGGCGCUGGAGCGUCAGGCCCAUACCCGGCCAGCACCAGUGCUGAGAGCUACCGGGGCUAAGUCAGGAUGAGUAGAAGGCUGCUGAGGUGCACACAGUAGACCAGGGGGAGAGCCCGAGUGGAGCCACCACAGGUGCAGAUUUUGGAGGUAUUAACAAGCAUUCAAUCGAGAACUUUGAAGGCAGAAGUGAAGCAGGGUACCAUGUGAACAUGUGUCGUUCCUAAGAGAUGGGUGAGCACUGUUCAGAAGUGACAGUCAAUGUCCUCCGUUGACCUCAUCUGAUCAAAAGGGAGUUGGGUUCACAUCCCUGAAUCCAGAGUGGUGGAGAAGGGUACCCUUGUGGCAUUCAUUGUACUAAUGCAAACGUUCCCGGAGAAUCUGGCGGGUGCCCCAGGAAGAGUUCUAUUUUCUUUGUGAAGGGCAUGUCACCCUGGAAUAUGUUUGCCGCAAGAGAGUAGCUUGAGCCUUGGAAAGCAUUGCGAUUCCAGCAGUGUCCGUUGAGCUCUCGCUGGUCUUUGUUAAUCUUGGGCAGAUGAUGUAAAUCUCACACCAGCCCGUACCCAUAUCCACAGCAGGUCUCAAAGGUUAACAGCCUCUGGAAUGUUGGAACAAUGUAGGUAAGGGAAGUCGGCUAGUCAGAUCUGUAACUUCAGGAUGAGAACUGUCCCUGAGGGCUCAGUGGUUGAGGCAGGGUGUAUGAAGCAAGGAUGGGCGCGCAGCGCAGCUGGACGAGGCAUCAACCCCUGGGUGCCCCGCCAACUCUGGUUGCAAGCCGGGCCCUCCAUAUGGAUGCCUCAGCAGGGGUGGUUACCUUUAUCCAUUUCCCUCCUGUGGUUUCGGUGCCAGCAUUCUGCCUCAGCUGAUGCCUCACAGUUGACUUAGAACUGGUGCAUUCCCAGGGAAUACAACAAUUUUAUUAAAACAAGGCAACACAAAGACCUGUGGCGGCUGUUGACACAAUCUGAUUUCUUCCCAAUUCUUUGAAUGUCAAGGUGAAAAAUUUAAUAAAGCGCAGGUAGACAUGGGAGUAACUGUGACUCUCUUAGGUGGCAAAGUGCCUCAUCAUCAUGCCAUUAGUGGCAUGCAUGAAUGGAGGAACGGGAGUCUGACUGUGGCCUACUUACUAUUUAGCAAAACCACAGCCAAUGGAACAGGCUUGACAGAAUCAGCGGGGAUAGGAGACACUGUCGAGCUUGAUUCUAGUAUAGCACUGUGAAGAGAGAUGAGAGGUAUAGGAUCAGUGGGAGGCCCUCAGGUCGGUGGUGAUAUACUAUUACUGGUAUAUUUUUUUCACUUACACAGUGAGGCGGGGAAGCCUUUUGGGUCUGUCACUUCUGGCGCAAAGCACCCGGAUCAAGCGGGGCAUGACCCACUUCAGGGAAAAUGGCAGACAGGCAGCUUGCCUGGAGCAUAAACCUGUCAAACGAUAACUCAGGUGUCAUAAGGUAAGCUCACGGAGGAUAGAAUUCUCUUGCACAGCCAAAGGUCAAAGGCUUGUUGGAUCUCAAUUUUCAGUAUGAGUGCAGACCGGGAAGUGGGGCCUCACGAUCUUUCUGACUUUUUGGGUUUCAAGCAAGAGGUGUCAAUUACCACAGGGAUAACUGUCUUGUGGUGGCCAAGCGCUCAUAGCAAUGUCGCAUUUUGAUCCUUUCAUGUCGAAUCUUCCUAUCACUGUGAAGCAGAAUUCACCAAACAUUGGAAUGCUCACUCACUAAUAGGGAAUCUCAGCUGGGUUUAGGCCAUUGUGUACUGAUGAUUGUUGUUCCAAUAGUAAUCCUGCUCAGUGUGAGAGGGAUAUUUGGUUUAUGUGCUUGGCUGUGGAGCCAGUGGGGUGAAGAUGCCAUCUGUGGAAUUAUGACAGAACACCUCUAAGUCAGAAUCCCCCCAAAACCAUAAUGGUUCUGUAGCACUGCAGAGCCUCGGUUGAUCUUGCAUGGCCAGCUUCUGCCCUGGUGCAUAGAGCCACUCGCCUCAGGACUCAAGUGUGGACAGAAGGGGGCAACCUCUCUUGCCCAUAGUGCACCACAUGUUCAUGGGGAAUGUGGUGCAAAAUCAUUUGUAGUUGACCUGAAUCUGGGUCCGUGUUUCGUAAGUAGCAGAGCAGCUACCUCCCUGUAAUCUGUUGGAAGUCAUCCUUUGAGACAAGGUUUUGUCAAAGACACUGUCA
rnacentral:rRNA from 1 species